rnacentral:rRNA from 1 species
UACGUAGGGUCCGAGCGUUGUCCGGAAUUAUUGGGCGUAAAGGGCUCGUAGGCGGUUUGUCGCGUCUGCCGUGAAAGUCCGGGGCUCAACUCCGGAUCUGCGGUGGGUACGGGCAGACUAGAGUGAUGUAGGGGAGACUGGAAUUCCUGGUGUAGCGGUGAAAUGCGCAGAUAUCAGGAGGAACACCGAUGCGAAGGCAGGUCUCUGGGCAUUAACUGACGCUGAGGAGCGAAAGCAUGGGGAGCGAACAGG